GCAAGGGCGGCGUAGGCCACCGGCGAAGAAGCAGCCGAGGCCAUCGGCGAGGGCGGCGUAGGCGGAGGUGAGGCUGCGCAUGGCGUCGGGGGCCUCCUAGUAGAGGAACUCGAGGAGGGCGAUGAGGCAGAAGCCCUCGGCGAGACCGUUGGACACCGAUUGCCGGUGCC
rnacentral:sRNA from 1 species